CCUACGGGAGGCAGCAGUGAGGAAUAUUGGACAAUGGACGCAAGUCUGAACCAGCCAUGCCGCGUGCAGGAAGAAGGAUCUAUGAGUUGUAAACUGCUUUUGUACGAGAGUAAACGCAGAUACGUGUAUCUGUCUGAAAGUAUCGUACGAAUAAGGAUCGGCUAACUCCGUGCCAGCAGCCGCGGUAAUACGGAGGAUUCAAGCGUUAUCCGGAUUUAUUGGGUUUAAAGGGUGCGUAGGCGGUCGUAUAAGUUAGAGGUGAAAACCCGAGGCUCAACUUCGGAAUUGCCUCUGAUACUGUUCGGCUAGAGUGUAGUUGAGGUAGGCGGAAUGUAUGGUGUAGCGGUGAAAUGCGUAGAGAUCAUGCAGAACACCGAUUGCGAAGGCAGCUUACCAAGCUACUACUGACGUUGAGGCACGAAAGCGUGGGGAGCAAACAGGAUUAGAUACCCUAGUAGUC
rnacentral:rRNA from 1 species